UGCGAUGUUAGUUAUAUAUUUCUACUGUAUUAUUGGUUAUGUUUUCCUUCUUUUCUCUGCUUCAAGAGUUGCUCUAAGAGUGGUUGAAAGACAACAAUGAAUAAUAUCAAAUGAAGCAGUGAUGGGAACCAAGUAUGAAAAGUCACACUAAUUUAUGAGCAUGUGCUAAAUUCUUAUGCCAGCAGGGUUGAGGACUGAUUGAGGACUUCUAAAGCAAGAGACAAUCACAAGAAAUAAACCUCCCAGUCACAUUAAUUUGUGGGCUAACAAGUUACAGGUGUCACUUCCAGGAAGGAUGAACCUUGGCAACUGAUGAGAUUGUUAACUAAGGGAGGAUCCAGACUGGGAGGGUAAGAAACUGCAGCGUUUGACAAUCCCAUGAGGAGUGUGUGGCGGGGGGGAAGGUAGCAGGGGGAAGAAGAGGGGUAGGUAGAAAAGGGCUGGUUGCAUGUAAAGCAGGUCCAGUCAGAUUGCUUCUUUAGCUGAGCCUUGUGCCUAUCUCUGCUGUCUGUCCUAUCUUCUAUCUCUUCGCAUUAAAUCUUUUAACUCUACGUAUUCACACUCUCUCCUGUGCAUAUGUGUACUUCAAGGACUGCUAGCUAUGGGCACUGGAGUGGUGUGUGUUCCCAAACCAGCUACUUGGGGGGACUGGCACAAGUGAGAUCUUACCACCUGUCCUUGAACCCAGCUGGACAAAUACUUUGCCUUGAGUGCAGUAGACAAAUCCCCAGAAACAGAGGGAGAAGCCUAGGACCCUGUCAGGAUAUUCCUUCCACCUUUUACAACCAAGCUAAUGACAAGUGUCUUCCGUUUUCACAAGGCUUCAUUAAGCAAGUACUGAAUGUUUCUUCUAAUGCCUGAAGCAUGGCCUGCACCUGGUCAUGCUGUGACCUGGACUACAGUGACCUAAGAGAAAUAUCUGAGGAAAACAGAUCUCAAAGUCAGGACACAAAAUUAUCUUCUUACCAAGUUUGCAUGGGGUGAUUACAUGAAUCUUUUGAAUGACUGCAUUUGCCAUCUGCUGCUAUUCACUUGCAAAGCAUUGUGCUUCUUCUUAGUAUUCCUCAAUGCAUGCAAGCAGUAGCCAGCUACCGUCAACCACAAGCAAGAAGGGCGUGAGGUAUUUCUCUAUAAAAGCAGCUCUAUUUUGUAAUAUGGCACCACCAUGUGAUUGUAAUGAGCAUUUAAUGUUGAAACUAGUAACAACAGUUUCCCAGUGUACAUAAAUAUUUUUAAUCCACCUGGAGCUUACUUGUCAGUAAGAGAUCCUUGUUUGUGCAGUUAGGCUGAUGAGAUUAUAUUAAUCAGUGGUCAUUAUGUUAUUAGCUUUUCUUUGGAAUAUUAUUUAUAGCAGUAUUCAAAUAGUUGCUAAUCUAAUUAAAGUUUCUGUUUGUGGUGGUUUUGUGGCCAGACCCAGUACACUGUUCAGUACGCCUUUAUGAAUGUCGAAACCUACAGUUUGCAGUAUCUGUGGUGAUCUGAAGGCUGAAUACAGCAAUGGAAGUCACUCUGUUCCCUUAACAAGACAUACAGUUGGUGGGGUUGGUUUAUUGAAGCACAGAUCAGCAUUCUGACUUUUCAGGAUAUAUUAGAAAGGAAUCAAACUUCAAGGCAUUAUAAGCAUGCAAAUAUUAGUUCCCUACUUCUUUUCAGAGUAUAAUUUUGUAAUAAAAACAAAUAAACAAAAAAUGCA
rnacentral:lncRNA from 1 species